AGUCGCCGCGGUAAUACAGAGGGUGCGAGCGUUAAUCGGAUUUACUGGGCGUAAAGCGUGCGUAGGCGGCUUUUUAAGUCGGAUGUGAAAUCCCUGAGCUUAACUUAGGAAUUGCAUUCGAUACUGGGAAGCUAGAGUAUGUGAGAGGAUGGUAGAAUUCCAGGUGUAGCGGUGAAAUGCGUAGAGAUCUGGAGGAAUACCGAUGGCGAAGGCAGCCAUCUGGCCUAAUACUGACGCUGAGGUACGAAAGCAUGGGGAGCAAACAGGAUUAGAUACCCGGGUAGUCCCUGUCUCUUAUACA
rnacentral:rRNA from 1 species